AAAGUAUAUGAUUUCAAGUUUUUGUGUUUUUUAUUUGAAUAAAGAAACGGCUUAAAUGAUGAUAGAUUUAGUUUUUUUCUUGUAUGGAUAUAUGACUUUUCUGUGAAUAUUUUA
rnacentral:sRNA from 1 species